rnacentral:rRNA from 1 species
AUCAAAUCCAAGGACUCGGCCCAUCCGCGAGCCUCGCCUACCGUCUCGGCUAGCUGGGCCUGAGUGGGCUUUAGGCCGCAUAGAUAUAUAAUCAAGUGUGUUCUCUGUAUUCGGGGGCAGAUAGGAAAACGGCAGGACAGGGAGGCCAGUUGUGGCGUGGGUGGCGUGUGUGCGUCUUCCUCCUCCUGAUCCCCUCUUUCUCUCAAACCAGAUGUAGCUCGAAUUCAUGUUCAUGGAGUAAAUUCGAAGACUAGUCCUAACAAUCUGCCUCCAAAAUCCACUAUAUAUAUGCCCCCUUCGAGCUAAAUAACCCUUCAUCCAAACAAGCCAAGGCAAGCUACUAGCCAGUACUUGGAGAAACCAACAAUGGCGCCGCUCGCAGCCCGGAGCCGGAGGCCAGCCU